UACGUAGGGUGCGAGCGUUAAUCGGAAUUACUGGGCGUAAAGCGUGCGCAGGCGGUGAUGUAAGACAGUUGUGAAAUCCCCGGGCUCAACCUGGGACCUGCAUUUGUGACUGCAUCGCUAGAGUACGGUAGAGGGGGAUGGAAUUCCGCGUGUAGCAGUGAAAUGCGUAGAUAUGCGGAGGAACACCGAUGGCGAAGGCAAUCCCCUGGACCUGUACUGACGCUCAUGCACGAAAGCGUGGGGAGCAAACAGG
rnacentral:rRNA from 1 species